ACACAAGCGGUAAGCAUGUGUUUUAUUUUUGAAGCAACGCGAAAAACCUUUACCAGGUCUUGACAUCCCCAGAAAAUACUAGAGAUAGCACGCUCCCCAUCGGGAGACAGAAUGACAGGUGGUGCAUGGUUGUCGUCAGCUCGUGUCGAGAGAUGUUGGGUUAAAGUCCCGCAACGCGCGCAACCCUUGAUCUUAGUUGCCAGCAUUAAGUUGGGCACUCUAAAGUGACUGCCGGUGACAAAAAAGGAAGAAAGGUGGGGAUGACGUCAAAUCAUCAUGCCCCUUAUGACCUGGGCUACACACGUGCUACAAUGGAUGGUACAAAGGGCUGCCAGACCGCGAGGGCGAGCCAAUCCCAUACAACCAUUCUCAGUUUGGAUUGUAGGCUGCCACUCGCCUACAUGAAGCAGGAAUCGCUAGAAACGCGGAUCAGCUGCCGG
rnacentral:rRNA from 1 species